CCUACGGGAGGCAGCAGUGGGGAAUCUUGCACAAUGGGGGGAACCCUGAUGCAGCGACGCCGCGUGAGUGAAGAAGUAUUUCGGUAUGUAAAGCUCUGUCAGCAGGGAAGAAGAAGGACGGUACCUGACCAAGAAGCCCCGGCUAAAUCCGUGCCAGAAGCCGCGGUAAUACGUAGGGGGCAAGCGUUAUCCGGAUUUCCUGGGUGUAAAGGGAGGGUAGAGGGCAGGGCAAGUCUGGAGGGAAAGGCAGGGGCGCAACCCCUGGACUGCUCGGGAAACUGUGCGGCUGGAGUGCAGGAGAGGGAAGUGGAAUUCCUAGUGUAGCGGUGAAAUGCGUAGAUAUUAGGAGGAACACCAGUGGCGAAGGCGGCUUACUGGACUGUAACUGACGUGGAGGCUCGAAAGCGUGGGGAGCAAACAGGAUUAGAUACCCGAGUAGUC
rnacentral:rRNA from 1 species